GUGGCUGGUCAUGUAAUGGUUGUUUUACUUUGUGUAGUACAGCCUUAGUCAGUCACAAAAUAGAAUAUUUGGUGUAUGCCGACAGCAUCCAGUGAGGGUUGUGGAUGUUUGUGCGAUUGUUCCAUACAUU